GGUUAAGCGACUAAGCGUACACGGUGGAUGCCCUGGCAGUCAGAGGCGAUGAAGGACGUGCUAAUCUGCGAAAAGCGUCGGUAAGGUGAUAUGAACCGUUACAGCCGGCGAUGUCCGAAUGGGGAAACCCAGUGUGAUUCGUCACACUAUCGUUAACUGAAUACAUAGGUUAACGAGGCGAACCGGGGGAACUGAAACAUCUAAGUACCCCGAGGAAAAGAAAUCAACCGAGAUUCCCCCAGUAGCGGCGAGCGAACGGGGAGCAGCCCAG
rnacentral:rRNA from 7 species